GACGAACGCUGGCGGCGUGCUUAACACAUGCAAGUCGAACGGAAGGGGCCUGCUUUCGUGGGGUGCUCGAGUGGCGAACGGGUGAGUAACACGUGAGUAACCUGGCCUUGACUUUGUGAUGACUUCAGGAGACUGCUGCUAAUACCGGAUAGCAGCUCCUGCUGCAUGGUGGGGGUGGGAACGUUUCGUCGGUUGGGGAUGGACUCGCGGCUUAUCAGCUUGUUGGUGGGGUAGUGGCUUACCAAGGCUUUGACGGGUAGCCGGCCUGGGAGGGUGGCCGGCUCCAGUCGGCCAGGGGUGGGCCCAGGGGUCAUACGGGAGGCAGCGGUGGGGAACUGUGCAAAGUGGGCGGAGGCCGUGUGCAGCAACGCCGGGUUGGGGAGGACGCCAUGCGGGGGGGAAGGCGAUUUAGUUUGUGACGUGGUGUGAGUGCGGUAAAAGGGGAAUGAGCCCCGGGUUAAUUAGGG
rnacentral:rRNA from 1 species